ACCGCCCAAAAGAGUAAGCAUCAGAGACGUAUGCGCCAAGGGGGGAAGGGGGCACCGUGACUUUGGGACAUCACGUUCGCUACACCUCAUCACCGUGGUCAGCCUACAGAAAGAAGAAGCAUCGUUGUAAAGCAGCUGGAGAUUUCGUACAAGAUGCCCUGCACGGACCCGUUCUGCAGCGAUGUGUGCGUUGGAAGAAACUGCUUCCUGGGAUACUGCAAGUUUCCCCAGUCACCCGUUCCCAGGAUCUGCGUGUGCAAGGGAUUCAGACACCACUGCGAAUGACGAAGAACCAAUUCUUGGACACGGGAGUCUGCUGUGCCCCGGCAUUCAGUCGAUGUUGUGGUCCAUGCUUUAUUUUG